rnacentral:rRNA from 1 species
GGAUUGCCCUAGUAACGGCGAGUGAAGCGGCAACAGCUCAAAUUUGAAAUCUGGCUCUUUUAGAGUCCGAGUUGUAAUUUGCAGAGGGCGCUUUGGCUUUGGCAGCGGUCCAAGUUCCUUGGAACAGGACGUCACAGAGGGUGAGAAUCCCGUACGUGGUCGCUGGCUAUUGCCGUGUAAAGCCCCUUCGACGAGUCGAGUUGUUUGGGAAUGCAGCUCUAAAUGGGAGGUACAUUUCUUCUAAAGCUAAAUAUUGGCCAGAGACCGAUAGCGCACAAGUAGAGUGAUCGAAAGAUGAAAAGCACUUUGGAAAGAGAGUCAAACAGCACGUGAAAUUGUUGAAAGGGAAGCGCUUGCAGCCAGACUUGCUUACAGUUGCUCAUCCGGGUUUCUACCCGUGCACUCUUCUGUAGGCAGGCCAGCAUCAGUUUGGGCGGUAGGAUAAAGGUCUCUGUCA